CCUACGGGAGGCAGCAGUGGGGAAUAUUGCACAAUGGGCGCAAGCCUGAUGCAGCGACGCCGCGUGAGGGAUGACGGCCUUCGGGUUGUAAACCUCUGUUAGCAUCGAAGAAGCGAAAGUGACGGUAGGUGCAGAGAAAGCGCCGGCUAACUACGUGCCAGCAGCCGCGGUAAUACGUAGGGCGCGAGCGUUGUCCGGAAUUAUUGGGCGUAAAGAGCUUGUAGGCGGUUGGUCGCGUCUGCUGUGAAAGGCCGGGGCUUAACUCCGGUUUUGCAGUGGGUACGGGCUAACUAGAGUGCAGUAGGGGAGACUGGAAUUCCUGGUGUAGCGGUGAAAUGCACAGAUAUCAGGAGGAACACCGAUGGCGAAGGCAGGUCUCUGGGCUGUAACUGACGCUGAGAAGCGAAAGCAUGGGGAGCGAACAGGAUUAGAUACCCCGGUAGUC
rnacentral:rRNA from 1 species